GGCUCGUUGGUCUAGGGGUCUGUUUCUCGCUUUGGGUGCGAGAGGUCCCGGGUUCAAAUCCCGGACGAGCCC
rnacentral:tRNA from 1 species